rnacentral:misc_RNA from 1 species
GAUGAAGAACGUAGCGAAAUGCGAUACGUAAUGUGAAUUGCAGAAUUCAGUGAAUCAUCGAAUCUUUGAACGCACAUUGCGCCUGCCAGCACUCUGGCAGGCAUGCCUGUUCGAGCGUCAUUUCAACCAUCAAGCCCUAGGCUUGCGUUGGAGCCCUGCGGCUGCCGCAGGCCCCUACAAGCAGUGGCGGGCUCGCUAUCACACCGAGUGCAGUAGAUUACUCUUCGCUCAGGGCGUGUGGCGGGUUCCAGCCGUGAAACCCCCUACUUCUCAAGGUUGACCUCGGAUCAGGUAGGAAUACCCGCUGAACUUAAGCAUAUCAAUAAGCGGAGGA